rnacentral:rRNA from 2 species
UGAGGAAUAUUGGGCAAUGGGCGCAAGCCUGACCCAGCAAUGCCGCGUGAAGGAUGAAGGUUUUCGGAUUGUAAACUUCUUUUGUCAAGGACGAUAAUGACGGUACUUGACGAAUAAGCCACGGCUAACUACGUGCCAGCAGCCGCGGUAAUACGUAGGUGGCAAGCGUUGUCCGGAUUUACUGGGUGUAAAGGGCGAGUAGGCGGUUUUGCAAGUCAGAUGUGAAAGGCGGGGGCUCAACCCCCGAGCUGCAUUUGAAACUGUAGGACUUGAGUGAUGGAGAGGCAGGCGGAAUUCCCGGUGUAGCGGUGGAAUGCGUAGAGAUCGGGAGGAACACCAGUGGCGAAGGCGGCCUGCUGGACAUUAACUGACGCUGAGGAGCGAAAGCGUGGGGAGCAAACAGG